UACGUAGGUGGCAAGCGUUAUCCGGAUUUAUUGGGCGUAAAGGGAACGCAGGCGGUCUUUUAAGUCUGAUGUGAAAGCCUUCGGCUUGACCGGAGUAGUGCAUUGGAAACUGGGAGACUUGAGUGCAGAAGAGGAGAGUGGAACUCCAUGUGUAGCGGUGAAAUGCUUAGAGAUCAUACAGAACACCGAUUGCGAAGGCAGCUUACCAAACUAUAUCUGACGUUGAGGCACGAAAGCGUGGGUAGCAAACAGG
rnacentral:rRNA from 1 species